UUUAAUAAUCCUAUUCUACAGUACUUUCACCCCCAUAUAAAUACAAAGUUAGACAAGCCUAAUUUUCAACCCAGCCCCGCUCUCUCUCUCUCUCUCCCUCCCUCUCUCUCCCCUCCCUGAGCUCAACUCCUCGCCCCCUCCCUAACCCUUUCGAUGGGAUCGACGGCUCAGUGUGGGGUUCGGUGAGGGGAAGGCAUGCGGCUUACAAAGAAGAGGAGAGAUAGAGGGUGAGGAGAGAGAGAGAGAGAGAGAGAGAGAGAGAGAGAGAGAGAGAGGGAUUCGGUGAAGGGAAGGCAUGCGGCUUGCAAAGAGGAUGGAGGGAGGGAGGAGAAGACGAAAGGCAACUGCAGCAAGUUCAUGGAUAGGGUGCCACCAAUGAAGACCCCUCGACAGUAGAUUCAAGUCAAUCUGGGCAAUCUAUCGCUUCUUAAAAAAAAAAAAAAAAAAAAAAAAAAAAAAAAAAAAAGUCAAUGUGUGUUAAGUCAUGACCUUCAACCCUCAUCAAAGCUCAACUUUUAGCCCCUUCUCCAGGUUUCUUCUCUCUAUGGUAGUCUGUUAGAGUUUAUGUUUAUCGUGGAAAGCACAGAAGACCCUGCUUAUCGGGCUGUAUCUAUGCUACUAUCAGAGCUUAAGGACGAGGUUGAUGCUAAGAUUGUUGUGGCUGGUAUUUCAACAACCUGCAGUAAGAAAAUUCACAACCGAUUGGUAUGUACCUGAUUAAAAUAAUUUACGCUUUGCUACCAUGCUGGUGCAAUAGCAAGGUCUUGCACAGUUGAAGUGUUAUCUUAUCAAAUCAUUAUGUACCUAUAAUUGUUCUAUAUGACGAGUUUCUUUUCUUUGUGGAAUACAGGAAUAUAAAUUAUUGUUUAGUCUUAAUGGUGUAGGGUAUAUGUAAAUGAAUUCAAGUAGAGCUCACUUUUUUGCUUUCCGUUUUGUAGCUGCCUUGAUCAUUAGUUGGUGAUAUUUGGGAGAUUGAGAGUAGGAUAGGAUAAUUUUAUUGUAUAAUUGAAUACUUUUGUAUAACCACUGUGCUUAUACAUUUUAUGUAACCAUUGUACUUGUACAUUAUACAUCAUCAGAGACCCUAUUUUUUUGG